rnacentral:lncRNA from 1 species
UUGAACACCGUGCCUGUGGUCCAAUGUCAGAACAACCGUUCUCAUUCCACGGAUGAGCUGAUCCCCUUCAGGCUAUAGGGGGCGCUGGAGCUAGAGAAGGAAUGACAGCCAGGCAUCCUGCUGAGAAGGCGGCCUGAGAGCGGUGCAGGGAGUGAUCUCUGCGGCCUUGGCCUCCUGCGGAGAAACCUGGAAAAAGGAUGCCUGGUACGACUGUUUGAGGCCACCGCCCAGCCAGGCUUUCCCAGUGGAAACCUGUAUCCAGACCUAAAACUGUACACACAGUGCACGCUACAAGGGCUUGGGAGAAAGUAGGGUACUCUUCAGGGGACUGCCUGGAGGCACCGAGGACUCCUUGGAACUGGUCUCUUUUAAGUAGCACCAAUGAGCUUUAGCUGCCGCACGGGCAAAAUGGCAAAAAGAAAAGCCCAUUUUGACAAAAUUGUUCCUUGGUCCUGUCACAUCAGGCUGUCAUUUUGGCUAACUUGUCUUUUGUUCUUUGCACCUCAAAUCUGAAAAAAUUCUAAAAUGCCUGAGCUCUAUGGUGAGCAGAAAACUGUCCUGAGUAUUUCUUCUCCUUUUCAACGUGCAUGUCUCUGCCAUUUUGAGUCUAUUGUGCUGUUUAAAAGUCUCUUCCUUCUCCGAGCUCACUUUGCUAUGUAAGCAGUUAGCUCCAAAUAGAUGGGUUCAGCACCACUCCAAAAAAAGAGCAAUCCUUGUCUAAGAGGAAAUAUGGUUAAGUUGCAGCUU